rnacentral:rRNA from 1 species
AAACCAGCACCUCAAGUGGUCAGGAUGAUUAUUGGGCCUAAAGCAUCCGUAGCCGGCUCUGUAAGUUUUCGGUUAAAUCUGUACGCUCAACGUACAGGCUGCCGGGAAUACUGCAGAGCUAGGGAGUGGGAGAGGUAGACGGUACUCGGGAGGAAGUGGUAAAAUGCUUUGAUCUCUCGAUGACCACCUGUGGCGAAGGCGGUCUACCAGAACACGUCCGACGGUGAGGGAUGAAAGCUGGGGGAGCAAACCGGAUUAGAAACCCUAGUAGUCC